CAAACUGGCUGGGAAGUUGCCUCAUUUGUUUCAGUACAAAGUCAAUAGCUUUCCAGGAUAAUUUUAAACAACACAAGCUGUUUUGCAUGAAAUGCACAAAGAAAAUUCACAUGUCUUUCAUCAUCGACAGCUCUGGGCAGAGUAUCUUUCACUAAAAUUGUGAUCACGUCCCAUCUGGUUAGUGGUAGCUGUUCUUGCAGCUGGUCUGAGUUGAGAUACAGGGGUGCAAAUGACAGGAAGAGGAGAAGACACAAAGACCUUGGACUGCUACAGAGGACAGUGGAGCUGUCUCUAAGUGUUACCUUCAAAAGGCUUGUGGUGCUCAAACCUGCAGCUGUCAUGUUCUUCUAGAAGUGGGCAGAUGGACUAGGAUUAAAGGAAUUCUCCUCCAGCCGGAUCAUCCUGAAGGAAUGAAAUACACUGUUCUGGAGGAAUACUGUCCUCCUUGGAAAUCCAAGACUUCAGAACAGCACAUUACAGAAAGAAACCAGUUUUGCUACAUAGAAAAAUUAAAAAAAGAAGCCAAA
rnacentral:lncRNA from 1 species